UACGUAGGGUGCGAGCGUUGUCCGGAAUUAUUGGGCGUAAAGAGCUCGUAGGCGGUUUGUCGCGUCUGCUGUGAAAACCGGAGGCUCAACCUCCGGCCUGCAGUGGGUACGGGCAAACUAGAGUGCGGUAGGGGAGAUUGGAAUUCCUGGUGUAGCGGUGAAAUGCGCAGAUAUCAGGAGGAACACCGAUGGCGAAGGCAGCUCGCUGGGACGGUACUGACGCUGAGGCGCGAAAGCGUGGGGAGCAAACAGG
rnacentral:rRNA from 1 species